rnacentral:lncRNA from 1 species
UGAGAUGUGAGUUCCAAAGGGCUUGGGCAGCCCUGUCUCUGUGGCCUUGCUGGUUGCAGCCCACAUAUCCACUCUCUUAGGCUGACUCUUCCUGUGGCCUGUAGCUUUCCUCAACAGAUAUUUCAAGUUCCUGGCGUCUCCUACUUCCUGAAAUGUUCACUGAAUCUUCAGCUUCAUUCCCACAGUUUCAUGCACUACUCUCACAAGAGCUCCUUUCCUGGCCUCCCAGGCCUUCCUUUGAGGUGGAAGCAUGCAUGACACUACAAUUCAUGCAUUCUACAUGCCUGAACAACCAGCAUCACAUGGACAAUGCUAAGGUCUGCCACCAGCUCAAGCAGUAGCCAGGCCCUCUUGUAUCAUGGCUGCAGUGUCCACUGAGUGCCUAUAUGAUGUUUUGGCAGCCGUGGGGCCUCUUUUUCUCCUCCCUUUCAACUUGCCUCAUGCUCGAAGCCACUGGGGAGACCCAAAGCCCUGCAGAGCAUCCCGGAAUGCAAAGCAUUUGCAAUGAGUCACAGCUGCCAGGAGCCAGCCAGGACUGCUUCACUAGGAGCAGGCGGGAGAGGGCUGCCGGCACUCACAGCUGCAGAGCUGGGGUCACAGGCUGGACCCAGGAAAGAGCAGCAGCAGCACAGCCCCGAAGGAGCAAAGAGCACGACGAGAGAACAGCCGCAGGGCAACUGCUGCCCCACUUGCUAGGUGCCUGGCUGUCGACUCUGUUGUCCGUCCAGUCUCUAAACACUAAAACUUUUCCCAAGAAAAACAGCCUUCUGGGUUAUAGAGGAUUGCAAGUUGGCGUUUGAAAAAUAAUGCCUGGCAGUCUUCUAACCAACAAUCAUUAAGGGCUGAGCCCAGAGAGCUUUGUAACCCACUAUUUUAAAAUGAGUUGGAAAAAUGCGGUGGAUGUUCUCUUUUAUGCCAACACAGGGGGCAUUCUCUGGCGCUCUCUAUUGGCAUUUGCUGUUCUUUCUCUCUGCCUGAAAGUACAUCCUUCUUUUAAGUCCUGGAGAGAGACUUUGGGUGCCAAACAUUGCCUCUUUCUACUUUUUUUUGGUUAACAAAUUAUGAACAAAGGAUGCAUUGAUCAUAUUUGCCCCAAAUAUUAAAAAAAAACUAUAGAAUAAGAAGAAAGUAUCCAUCUCACUCUUGGCCACCCCAGCCAUUCAGUUCUCCAUUCUGGAAGUGAGCACUGUUACUUGUUUCUUGUCUAUUUUUCCAGAAAUAUCCUUUGCAUGUACAAGCAUGUCUGUUGUGUAAGUUUUUGGUGCAUAUAGAAUGUAUCACAAAAUGUUCCCCUCUCUGCAUUUUUAAAAACUUUGGCACUAGUUUUGUGUCAGUACAAAUAGAACCCUUAAUUUGUUCAUUUAAACUAGAUGUUUAAACAGAACUCUAUUUCUAUACAUGUUGGUUAUUUUCAAUAUUUUCCUGUUUAAAAACUGUGCUUCUGUGAAUAUUUUUUAACAUAUAAAAUAUAGCUACAUUUGGGUCGGGGAUUUAGCUCAAUGGUUCCGCCGCCUGCCUUGCAAGCACAAGGUCAUGUGUUCGAUCCCCGGUACCAAAAAAUAUAUAUAUAUAGCUACAUUUAUGUGUAGCUAUAGAUAUAGAUUAAAUUUCAAGAGGUGGGAUUGCUAUGCCAUAUUUGAUUUUGGGGGGGGGCACCGGGGAUCGAACUUGGGUCCUUGCGCUUGCGCAGCAGGCGACGAAACCACUGAGCUAAAUCCCCAGCCCUAUAUUUGAUAUUUUGAUAGAUAUUUUGUUACAUUGCCCUCUGUAGAGGCAAUACUCACAUGCAUGCAUGUCUGUUUUCCUCAUUCCUUACCACAGAGUAUGCUAACAUUUUUACAUUUGCCAAUUGAUAGAUUUAAAAAUGGUGUCUCACUGUACUUUUAAUUUGGUUUCUUAUUAUAAGGCUAAGCGUCUUUAUCUGAUACUUGCAUUAUGUGUUCUCUGAAAUCUGUUCUCUGCCAUUUUUAAUUGCAUUGUUGUCUUGAUCGCUUCAACUCUGUAUAUUAAAGAAAACAGCUUUUUGUCAGUGUAUACACAGGAAUUCUUUUUCCAGUUUUUUUUCAUACUUUCCAUGUUAAUUUCAUACAGAAGUCUUUUUAGUUUUGUGUUGUUGAAUUUGCCUUUUCAUUCUUGGUGUAAGAACUUUCCUUUCAUUCUCUGAAAGUUUCAUAAAUUGAGUAUAUUAAAUAAACUGACAGUAGAGAUACCAGCAGGAGAAAAGACUUAUAACUGUAUCAUGUUUGUGAAGAAUCACAAGAAAAAAAAAAAGCCAGUUUCCAACAACCUGAGAUUGAGAAGCCUGUACCAGAUGUGAUAAAAAAAAACUAUACAACCCACUUUCUGGUCCCCCUUCUGUCUCUCUUAGGCAGAAGCUUUCUUUCUCCCAAUAAAAUUUUCCUACUCUUAAAAAAAAAACAACUGUAAUUUGUGUUUAAAUCUUAAAAAUUAUAUAGAGGUGUCACUUGUGUGUCUGUUUUUCUCUGACGUGUAGGCUAAGCCUUAAUGGACAGGUGCAAAAAAUAAAUCCUCUUUUGCA